GAUGAACGCUGGCGGCGUGCUUAAUACAUGCAAGUCGAGCGAAAAGGCGAGGAGUUUGUUCGGUGGACGUGAGGGGCGGGGGGGUGUAAAACGCGUGUAAAACGUCCUUGAAAUAGGGGGAAAACUUGGGGAAACGGGAUCAAAUACCGUAGAAGAUAUUGAACCGCAGGGUUCAUUGGUAAAUUACGGUUUUUGGGGAAGUAAUAGAGGGUUCUCCGCCGGAUUAGCUGGUUGUUAAGUUAACGGGUUACCAAGGCAAGGAGGCGUAGCCGACGUAAGAGGGUGAUCGCCCACACUGGAACUGAGACACGGUCCAGACUCCUACGGGAGGCAGCAGUCGGGAAUCUUCCGCAAUGGGCGAAAGCCUGACGGAGCAACGCCGCGUGAGUGAUGACGGUCUUCGGAUCGUAAAACUCUGUUAUUAGGGAAGAACAACUGUGUAAGUAACCAUGCACGUCUUGACGGUAAUUAAUCAGAAAGCCACGGCUAACUACGUG
rnacentral:rRNA from 1 species